rnacentral:tRNA from 1 species
GCGGGGCUAGCUCAGUUGGUAGAGCGUCACGUUCCCAACGUGAAUGUCGCCGGUUCGAAUCCGGUGCCCCGCU